rnacentral:rRNA from 1 species
UACGUAGGUGGCAAGCGUUGUCCGGAAUUAUUGGGCGUAAAGCGCGCGCAGGUGGUUUCUUAAGUCUGAUGUGAAAGCCCACGGCUCAACCGUGGAGGGUCAUUGGAAACUGGGGGACUUGAGUGCAGGAGAGGAGAGUGGAAUUCCACGUGUAGCGGUGAAAUGCGUAGAGAUGUGGAGGAACACCAGUGGCGAAGGCGACUCUUUGGCCUGUAACUGACGCUGAGGCGCGAAAGCGUGGGGAGCAAACAGG